UUUAAGUGUAAAUUUGAUUUACCUGGGUAGUAUUAGUUAAGGUCUUAAAACCCAAAGAAUUUGGCGGUAUUUCAUUCCAUUCAGAGGAACCUAUCUCGUAAUUGAUAGUACACGAUUUACUUUACUUAAUUUAUUUGUUUGUAUAUCUCCGUUAUCAGAAAAUCUUUUUGGAGUUAUAAUUUUCCURUUUUUUCAUUGAAAAUUAUUUCAGGUCAAGGUGCAGCUUAUAAUUAAGUGUUUGAUGGGUUACAAUAAAUUUUUUUAUUAUGGAUUUAUUAUUGAAAUGUUAUAAUGAAGGUGGAUUUGAUAGUAAUUUAAUUUAUUUAAUUUAACUGAUAUUGGCUCUGAAAUGUGU
rnacentral:rRNA from 1 species